UACGUAGGGUGCAAGCGUUGUCCGGAAUUAUUGGGCGUAAAGAGCUCGUAGGCGGUCUGUCGCGUCUGCCGUGAAAACCUGUGGCUCAACUACAGGCUUGCGGGUGAUACGGGUGGGCUGGAGUUCGGUAGGGGAGACUGGAAUUCCUGGUGUAGCGGUGAAAUGCGCAGAUAUCAGGAGGAACACCGGUGGCGAAGGCGGGUCGCUGGGCCGAUACUGACGCUGAGGAGCGAAAGCGUGGGGAGCGAACAGG
rnacentral:rRNA from 1 species